rnacentral:tRNA from 1 species
AGCAGAGGACUGAAAAUCC